UACGUAGGGCGCAAGCGUUGUCCGGAAUUAUUGGGCGUAAAGAGCUCGUAGGUGGUUUGUCGCGUUGUCCGUGAAAACUCACAGCUCAACUGUGGGCGUGCGGGCGAUACGGGCAGACUGGAGUACUGCAGGGGGAGACUGGAAUUCCUGGUGUAGCGGUGGAAUGCGCAGAUAUCAGGAGGAACACCGGUGGCGAAGGCGGGUCUCUGGGCAGUAACUGACGCUGAGGAGCGAAAGCGUGGGGAGCGAACAGG
rnacentral:rRNA from 1 species